AAAGAUAAGGGCGCAAUGGCAGCCGUCCAUCGCAUUUAUCCUAUUAUAAAAGUACGUUAGGUUGGGUUGGUUCCUAACCAUUCAACGACUCAAUGUUCUCUCUCUCUUCGCAUCUCUAUGCGCCUCCGUGGUUCCUCUCUUGCAGAUCUGUUCUGCAAGGAUUCUUUUCUCUUCCUUUAUGUCUCGAAUUCGCGUAGGUCUUUUCAAGAUCUACGUUUUCAUGGUGAUUUGAGGCUGUGAAGAUGUUUUGAGCUGCUGGUUCGUAGCUGGUUUUACGAGCUUGAGCUCGUCUUCUUCGUGCUUUGGCUCAGAUUUAGAGUUUCUGAUUGACUAUGAUGGAGUUCAUAGCAAGUCCUCGGAGUUUCCAAGACUUGACCGUUUUGAACCAAAUCCGACGUCGUUUCAGCUGCAGAUCUGGUUCUUCUGGAGUCAAACGUAUGUUUAUUCAAUAUUCGAAUGGCAUAAUUGUAAUUUGAUGAUCGGGAAGCUGAAAGCUGGGGGGUUUAUGGGUGAUUGGGUUGUGCAACGGAUGUAUAAGAUGUCGGGACGAAAGGCUCAGAGGAAGGGUCUGUGUCCUGGACCGAUCUUUGUCAUCCGACCUUUGCCAUGACAGGUGCGCUUGCAUGGCAGGUCACAAAAUACCUUAAUAAAAAAACAGAAACGAUUUUUUGGUUUGGAGGGGAGAUUGCAUGGGGUUUUGCCCAGGGUCUCUCCCUCUGGUGUGUGGUGUGUGCUGCUCUGUGUCGUCCUCUCUUUACUCUGUUUUAUUUUUUGCUCUCCUGCUCAUCCAAGUAUGCCAGAUUGUGGACAGCAACGACGACAAAAUCUCAGCCGUCCAAAGGUAUCGUCUGCCCAAUUCUAUUUCAAUUAAUAUGCAUCCAUCUAUCUAAUUCUAGUACUGAAAUCUGCCACUUGCACAGCCAACUCACGAUCAUGAUUUAAAUUGACAUUCAUCUAAUCUAAUCUAGUCAUGACUAAUUCACAAUCCUCAUGUCCAAUUAAUUAGUCUUAUGCUCGUAGUUAUGGCGCUGCUGUGAAUUGAUAUUGGAUUAAGCAUUUUUAGGCAUAAUCCAAUAUAUUUGGUAACCUCAGAAUUAAUUAUAUAGAGUAAUGUUUUCUAGACAAACGGGUUUCAAGUUUCUGUAAAUAUCAUCUAAUAUAAGAUAUUUUAUCCGUGGAAAAAUUAAAAGGUUUUUUUAAUUAAGAAGUAUAUGAAUGUGCGGAAUUAUGAAACAGAAAUUUCAACUGUCUUUUUAAUUGCUUGGUAAUUUGGCUAAUCAUAAUAUUUUGGGGAAGUUUCAAUUUGUUUACAGUAAUCCAUUUUUAUAUGCUAUCAUGUGCGCGCCCAAAUCUCACAUCCCACCCUUCACUUAUUCAAUUCAUCAUGCAAUACUUUGCAAUCCGUACUUAUAAUACUAAAUCUCAAUACAGCUGCACCAAUUCUUGUCUUUAUUUAAGUACAGUUCUUGUAUGCGCUGAAAUGAGGUUGUGUGGUGGUUCUUGAGUUCUUAUUUGUAAUUUUGUGGGUAUGCACUUCCGAAAUUAUGGUAUAUUCUGGGUUCCCAAGAUUUAUGGAUCCUUUGUAAUAUUAUGUAAUUAUUUUUGCUUUUGGCUGAUAUUGCCUCUAGCAAUGGAUUGUAUUCCCAUUAUAGAUGGUUUGUAGGAGUUUGGCUGCUGGAAGCAAUUUCCUCAGUGAAGCCUGAAUGUUUCUACUCGUUUAUAAACCAGUCAAGACUCUUCUCAAUUACAAGCUGUUUGCGGGAAGGUUCAAGUUCUGUUAGUCUGCAAUAUUUCUCGAAACUUUGAGGUGAAAACUGAAUUGAGUUGAGCUUCGCAUUGCCUUUGUUUUUAAAGUUAUUAUCACUAUUCAGUAUUACUUUAUACAGUAAUCCUUCAUUAAUUGAGUCAUUUCAAGGAUUAUUUGGUAUGGUUAUAUUUAUUCAUGUUAGUAGUUUUAUCUGCCCAUGGAUUACUCUAUCUUUUGUUCAAUUGAAUUAGAUGAAUAAUUUAUACAUCCUUUAUUGUAGUAAAUAUUUAUUCUUUCUCUUUCUAUUUUAUUGGAUAUUUUUUAUAGAUAUUAUUUUUGUAUGCUUGUGUUUCAUGUGGUUGUUUAAUUGUUAGAGAUUGAUACAAUCAGAAUUAGAAAGGAGAAGGUGGGUGAGGUUGGGAUGGAUUAGGAUUGCAGUAGUUGGGCUGGAAGAUGAGUUCAAUGCAUGAGUAGUUGAUAGUCUUUUGGGUUGGGUCGUCUUACCUUCAUUUAUCUGAGUCGCUAAAUAAAUGCGGUAUUGUUUCAAUAACCAAACUAUAGUUUCAUAAAUGCUAGGCUUACCAAAUUUUUGUGCCACAUUGUUUACUACCUCUUUUAUAGAGAUGGGUCCCAUUGUAUUGGUGGGCUCUAUAAGAGUUGUGUUACACAAUGUGGUAUAAAAAUGUGGUAAAGUUUAGCAUUACCCUUUCAUAAGACUUGCCCAAAUAUAUGCUCCGUUGAAGUAAUACUGGUUUCAUGCCGUCCUAGAGAAGUUGCGAGACCAGCGAAUUUGUCAAGUUGAAUCUUUUUGACUUUGAGGAAGUGUUACCUCGGUUUGUAACAUUCUAGAUGUGAACUUUUCUGCACUUUCUGGAAUUUUCUUGGUGUUUGUUUCUCUGAAAUUGGUUUUUAGAAGUUUGGGUAUAGUUUUUAGUAAAGUAGAUCGUUGGGAAGAUGAUACAUACUAACACCGGUGUUUAAUGUAGUUAGGUCCAACAUUAUUGUUGAAAACCCCAAUUAUUUUUUGGGGCGUUUUCUCGGGUCAUUUUCUUGAGAAGAUAUUAUUCACACAGACCCUUCUUGAAAAGAUAUUAUUCACACAAACCCUUCGAUGACUUAACGGCUGUUGUGCUUGAGGAAUAGUUUCACAAAAAUGGAGAGGCUCUGUACUGAGGUAUAAAACAGUGGAGUGCAGUGCUUUCUAUGCUUAAUAGACGCCACACUUCCGAAAUCUACUUUCAACUCUGUGCGGCGGGUAUUAGGUGAGGUAAUUGGUCUUAUUUACAUCUCUAACAUUUUUAAUGAAUGCAAAAUGAAUGCAAUUAAAUGGCUAAUGACCAAGAUUAGAAAUAUAUAAUCAAUCUUAACGUAAAAAUAGAAUACUUAUUGGAGAGUAGGAUUUGCUUUGUCCUGCUGGAAUUGCAAUCCGAAGAUUUGUUUUGAGUGUUUGGUGUCCGGCUGCUGAAUUUGUCAGACUAUUUCUAGGCCGGCCCGUGGGAAAUUGCGUGAAAUCAAAAGAUCUGUAGCUCAAAAAUGGCAGAGCGCUCAAAGUCCUUAUUGGGCUUUCGAGAGGUUGGUGGUUCAAAUCCACCCAGAUCUACCAUCUUUUGUUCGUGCGGUUGGUUUGGUGGGCUGGGUUUCCCUUCUGAAAAAUUUAUACUACGUUUUUGGUCGGAAUUUUAUUGUCAUCUUGUCCCUCCUAUUUCGCUUACAUGUUACCUAACAUUCAAUUGGGGUCUUGGUGUGCAUGGGCUCUUUACGGGUUGUUUUCCCUUAUUAGGAAAACUUGAUGGGCUGCCCAGCUAUUGAGGACCAGGAAAAAGGAGAGCUUCAUUUUCUGUGUUGUGAUGAACUGUUUAUCUUUUGGAUUAUGAAGUCGGGUGUUUAAAGUAAGUCACUUUCCUUUGUAAAUGGAUGACACUAUUCCAAAAAUAAAGAGAAGAGGAGAGAAUGCAAGAUUAAAAAAAUAAAAAAAUAAGUGACUGUUUUUCUUUGUUUUCUUGCCUGACAAAUGUUACAUGAAUCAAAUUGUUUGUUUCUAAAUGAAUAUUUUUGAUCUUCUCCUGGUUAUUUUUUUUUUACAACAGGAGCUGGUUUAUGCAAUGAACUUGGUUUAUCUGGUACUGGAUUGCAUUAUGUAAUUUAUAAACACAUUUCUGCCCCCCUCCAACCGAGGCUAUGUCUUUCUUGUUGCUUUAUUUUAGAAGGUGAGUGGUGUGGUGGAAGAGAGCCGGAUCCCUGGACCCAGUUGUGGCUUUGGGAGGUUGUUGGUCAUUGAAAUUUAUGCUCUUCUUUUAGCCAGUAUAAGAUUUCAUAUCAAUGAUUUGUCUGAAAUUCAAUGCCCAUUUGCCAAAGACCAGAGAGUACAAAAUCAUGCGGGAUGUGUAAGCUCAAACUUAAUGCCUGCAGUCUUAUGUAUCUAUCUACCCACCCAGCUCAUUCU